GUUGCUAGGUCUUGUUAGAGUCGAGUUCGUGUGUUUUUCCCCACCAUUUCCAUCAAUUUUUAGCCAUCGCCGCAAAUUUUUCCCACUUCCGGACCGUUUUGUCCUCUAAUUCGGAGUCCGUUCGUAAAACAACCAUAACUUUCGCAUACGAACUCCGAUUUUGACGUUCCAUAUAUCAAAAUCGCUCAGAAAAAAAUUCAGAUCUGUCUGUCCCCACUGUACGCGGGUUCGACAAUUUUAGAAUCCCCAAAUUUUCCUCUGAAGUUUGAGUUUUCACCUCCUGAAGUUUUUUACACAUUUUUAUAAUCUUCAUAAAAUUUCAGAGGCCACGUCUUUCACUUGUUUAAGCUCAAUUUUCAAUGGUUACUUCUGUAAUGCUCCUAAGUAAAAGAAAAAUAUCAAAAAAUAAAAAGAGUUGCAGGGUUUUGGAUCGUGUUGUUUGGAAGCCGGAUUGAUUUGUGUCUCGUUUCCACCAAAUCGAGAGUUACCAGAUCCUUUCA
rnacentral:lncRNA from 1 species